rnacentral:rRNA from 1 species
UAGGCAGCGAGCGUUGUUCGGAGUUACUGGGCGUAAAGAGCGCGCAGGCGGUCGUUCAAGUCGCGUGUGAAAGCCCCCGGCUCAACUGGGGAGGGUCACGCGAUACUGAUCGACUCGAAGGCAGGAGAGGGUAGUGGAAUUCCCGGUGUAGUGGUGAAAUGCGUAGAUAUCGGGAGGAACACCAGUGGCGAAGGCGACUACCUGGCCUGUUCUUGACGCUGAGGCGCGAAAGCUAGGGGAGCAAACGGG